GACGAACGCUGGCGGCGUGCCUAAUACAUGCAAGUAGAACGCACAGUUUAUACCGUAGCUUGCUACACCAUAGACUGUGAGUUGCGAACGGGUGAGUAACGCGUAGGUAACCUGCCUGGUAGCGGGGGAUAACUAUUGGAAACGAUAGCUAAUACCGCAUAAUAUUAAUUAUUGCAUGAUAAUUAAUUGAAAGGUGCAAUUGCACCACUACCAGAUGGACCUGCGUUGUAUUAGCUAGUAGGUGAGGUAACGGCUCACCUAGGCGACGAUACAUAGCCGACCUGGGAGGGUAAUCGGCCAGACUGGGACUGAGACACGGCCCAGAGUCCUACGGGAGGCAGCAGUAGGGAAUCUUCGGCAAUGGACGAAAGUCUGACCGAGCAACACCGCGUGAGUGAAGAAGGUUUUCGGAUCGUAAAGCCCUGUUGUAAGAGAAGAACGGGUGUGAGAGUGGAAAGUUCACACUGUGACGGUAUCUUACCAGAAAGGGACGGCUAACUACGUG
rnacentral:rRNA from 1 species